GGAGGGUGCGAGCGUUAUUCGGAUUUACUGGGCGUAAAGGGCACGUAGGCGGUUUGGUUAGUCUGAUGUGAAAUCCCUUGACUCAAUCGAGGAAGUGCAUUGGAUACUGCCAGACUGGAGUGCAGGAGAGGUGAGCGGAAUUCCUGGUGUAGAGGUGAAAUUCGUAGAUAUCAGGAGGAACAACGGUGGCGAAGGCGGCUCACUGGACUGUAACUGACGCUGAGGUGCGAAAGCGUGGGGGGAGCAAACAGGAUUAGAUACCCUGGUAGUCCACGCUGUAAACGAUGGAUACUAGAUGUCGGGAGCUCUUGCCCUCUCGGUGUCGCAGUUAACGCAUUAAGUAUCCCGCCUGGGGACUACGGCCGCAAGGCUA
rnacentral:rRNA from 1 species